CAGGUCAGCCAGGUGGUUGCGCCCCCCUCGGGGGGUGAGGAAAGUCCGCACUCCAUCGAGCACGGUGCCGGAUAACGUCCGGGGCGGAGUAAUCUGCCGGAUCGGGCCACAGAAACAAACCGCUCCUUCGGGAGUAAGGGUGAAAUGGUGGUGUAAGAGACCACCGGC
rnacentral:RNase_P_RNA from 1 species